AUAAACGCUGGCGGCGUGCAUGAGACAUGCAAGUCGAACGGGUGACUCGGGCUUGCUCGAGUUGCUAGUGGCGGACGGCUGAGUAACGCGUGGGUGACCUGCCCCGAAGUGGGGAAUAACUGCCCGAAAGGGUGGCUAAUACCGCAUGUGGUCGCACGUUCGUUCGUGCGAGUAAAGCCGCAAGGCGCUUUGGGAGGGGCCUGCGUCCGAUUAGCUCGUUGGUGGGGUAAUGGCUCACCAAGGCGACGAUCGGUAGGUGGUCUGAGAGGACGAUCACCCAGACUGGGACUGAGACACGGCCCAGACUCCUACGGGAGGCAGCAGUCGGGAAUUUUGCUCAAUGGGCGCAAGCCUGAAGCAGCAACGCCGCGUGAGGGAUGAAGGCCUUCGGGUUGUAAACCUCUUUUGUCAGGGACGAUAAUGACGGUACCUGGCGAAUAAGCCACGGCUAACUACGU
rnacentral:rRNA from 1 species